rnacentral:rRNA from 1 species
GAACGGGUGAGUAACGCGUGAGCAAUCUACCUUAGUUACAGGGAUAGCCCGAGGAAACUCGGAUUAAUACCUGAUAUUCUUUAAAUUUCGCAUGAAAUUAAAAGGAAAGGUCAGCCGAACUAAGAUGAGCUCGCGUUCUAUCAGCUAGUUGGUGAGGUAAAAGCUCACCAAGGCUACGACGGAUAGCUGGUCUGAGAGGACGAUCAGCCACACUGGGACUGAGACACGGCCCAGACUCCUACGGGAGGCUGCAGCAGGGAAUAUUGUGCAAUGAACGAAAGUUUGACACAGCGACACCGCGUGUGGGAUGACGGAUCUAGGUUUGUAAACCACUUUCAGGAGGGAAGAAAAUGACGGUACCUCCA